rnacentral:lncRNA from 1 species
CAAUGGAGGCAGAGAUUGGCUUGAUGUAGCUACAAGCCAAGGAAUGCCAAGGAUUUCCAGAAACCACCAGAAGUUCUCCUUGUGAAGCAAAAAGCGCACCACGAUCGGGGAGAGAGAAAAGCUGCGAGGCUAGCCUUAAUGGCCCUAUGACCACAUCAGACUCUGAAACACUGAGACUCUGGGAUGACCCCUGUCCGUCCUCUGCUCUGCUGAUUCUCGCUGCUUCUCUUGGUUUCUGCAGCUGGGGAACGGAAUUUCAAGCAAAUUGUUAUAAUAACGCGCGAGAUAAGGAGACCUCUUGCUAUCAAGAGAGUAAGAUGAUGGACUUCUCCUUUUUGCAAAGUGAAG